rnacentral:rRNA from 1 species
GGUUAAGUGACUAAGCGUACACGGUGGAUGCCUUGGCAGUCAGAGGCGAUGAAAGACGUAGUAACUUGCGAUAAGCCCAGAUUAGGUAGUAACAACCAUUUGAGUCUGGGAUUUCUGAAUGGGGAAACCCACUUACAUAAGUAAGUAUCAUUAACUGAAUACAUAGGUUAAUGAGGCGAACCGGGGAACUGAAACAUCUAAGUACCCCGAGGAAAAGAAAUCAACCGAGAUUCCGAAAGUAGCGGCGAGCGAAAUUGGACUAGCCCUUAAGCUUUACACGCGUUAGACGAACGGUCUGGAAAGUCCGACGAUACAGGGUGAUAGUCCCGUAGUUGACGACGUGUGUUCAGUGAAAUCGAGUAGGGCGGGACACGUGAUAUCCUGUCUGAAUAUGGGGGACCAUCCUCCAAGGCUAAAUACUACUGACUGACCGAUAGUGAACCAGUACCGUGAGGGAAAGGCGAAAAGAACCCCUGUGAGGGGAGUGAAAUAGAACCUGAAACCGUGUACGUACAAGCAGUAGGAGCAGGCUUUGUCCUGUGACUGCGUACCUUUUGUAUAAUGGGUCAGCGACUUAUAUUCAGUGGCAAGGUUAACCAUCUAGGGGAGCCGUAGGGAAACCGAGUCUUAACUGGGCGUUCAGUCUCUGGAUAUAGACCCGAAACCAGGUGAUCUAGCCAUGGGCAGGUUGAAGGUUGAGUAACAUCAACUGGAGGACCGAACCGACUAAUGUUGAAAAAUUAGCGGAUGACUUGUGGCUAGGGGUGAAAGGCCAAUCAAACCUGGAGAUAGCUGGUUCUCCCCGAAAGCUAUUUAGGUAGCGCCUCGGACGAAUACUACUGGGGGUAGAGCACUGUUAAGGCUAGGGGUCAUCCCGACUUACCAACCCUUUGCAAACUCCGAAUACCAGUAAGUACUAUCCGGGAGACACACGGCGGGUGCUAACGUCCGUCGUGGAGAGGGAAACAACCCAGACCGCCAGCUAAGGUCCCAAAUUACUACUAAGUGGGAAACGAUGUGGGAAGGCUCAGACAGCCAGGAUGUUGGCUUAGAAGCAGCCAUCAUUUAAAGAAAGCGUAAUAGCUCACUGGUCGAGUCGGCCUGCGCGGAAGAUGUAACGGGGCUAAGUAGUAAACCGAAGCUGCGGCAAUGUGCUUUUGCACAUUGGGUAGGGAGCGUUCUGUAAGCGGUUGAAGGUGUGUGGUAACGCAUGCUGGACGUAUCAGAAGUGCGAAUGCUGACAUGAGUAACGAUAAAGGGGUGAAAAACCUCCUCGCCGGAAGACCAAGGGUUCCUGUCCAACGUUAAUCGGGGCAGGGUAAGUCGACCCCUAAGGCGAGGCCGAAAGGCGUAGUCGAUGGGAAACGGGUUAAUAUUCCCGUACUUCUUACAAUUGCGAUGGGGGACGGAGAAGGCUAGGUGGGCCUGGCGACGGUUGUCCAGGUUCAAGUGCGUAGGCUUAAGAGUUAGGUAAAUCCGGCUCUUUCUAAGGCUGAGACACGACGUCGAGCACCUACGGGUGUGAAGUCAUUGAUGCCAUGCUUCCAGGAAAAGCCUCUAAGCUUCAGAUUGUAAGGAAUCGUACCCCAAACCGACACAGGUGGUCGGGUAGAGAAUACCAAGGCGCUUGAGAGAACUCGGGUGAAGGAACUAGGCAAAAUGGUACCGUAACUUCGGGAGAAGGUACGCUCUUGAUGGUGAAGUCCCUUGCGGAUGGAGCUGACGAGAGUCGCAGAUACCAGGUGGCUGCAACUGUUUAUUAAAAACACAGCACUGUGCAAAAUCGUAAGAUGACGUAUACGGUGUGACGCCUGCCCGGUGCCGGAAGGUUAAUUGAUGGGGUUAGACUUCGGUCGAAGCUCUUGAUCGAAGCCCCGGUAAACGGCGGCCGUAACUAUAACGGUCCUAAGGUAGCGAAAUUCCUUGUCGGGUAAGUUCCGACCUGCACGAAUGGCGUAAUGAUGGCCACGCUGUCUCCACCCGAGACUCAGUGAAAUUGAAAUCGCUGUGAAGAUGCAGUGUACCCGCGGCUAGACGGAAAGACCCCGUGAACCUUUACUACAGCUUGGCACUGAACAUUGACCCUACAUGUGUAGGAUAGGUGGGAGGCUUUGAAGCACGUACGCCAGUAUGUGUGGAGCCGUCCUUGAAAUACCACCCUUGUAGUGUUGAUGUUCUAACGUCGACCCCUAAUCGGGGUUGCGGACAGUGCCUGGUGGGUAGUUUGACUGGGGCGGUCUCCUCCCAAAGAGUAACGGAGGAGCACGAAGGUGGGCUAAUCACGGUUGGACAUCGUGAGGUUAGUGCAAUGGCAUAAGCCCGCUUGACUGCGAGAAUGACAAUUCGAGCAGGUGCGAAAGCAGGUCAUAGUGAUCCGGUGGUUCUGAAUGGAAGGGCCAUCGCUCAACGGAUAAAAGGUACUCCGGGGAUAACAGGCUGAUACCGCCCAAGAGUUCAUAUCGACGGCGGUGUUUGGCACCUCGAUGUCGGCUCAUCACAUCCUGGGGCUGAAGUCGGUCCCAAGGGUAUGGCUGUUCGCCAUUUAAAGUGGUACGCGAGCUGGGUUUAGAACGUCGUGAGACAGUUCGGUCCCUAUCUGCCGUGGGCGUUGGAAGAUUGAAGGGGCUGCUCCUAGUACGAGAGGACCGGAGUGGACGAACCUCUGGUGUUCGGGUUGUGUCGCCAGACGCAUUGCCCGGUAGCUAAGUUCGGAAUCGAUAACCGCUGAAAGCAUCUAAGCGGGAAGCGAGGCCCUGAGAUGAGUCUUCCCUGAUACUUUAAGUAUCCUAAAGGGUUGUCGGAGACUACGACGUUGAUAGGUCAGGUGUGUAAGUGCUGUGAGGCAUUGAGCUAACUGAUACUAAUUGCCCGUGAGGCUUAACCAU